CACAUGUUAGAUAUAAUUCCAAAGCUCAAUUUGUGCCUUCCCAAUAAUUGCUAUUCUUUUAUCUUCUAUUCUUCUUCCUAAUUACCUUGAGUGGAGGGAUCAAUAAUCAAUUCUUUUGAUUCAUUUUUCCCUUGCUUGUAAGUUUUACCCAGUACUAGGUUUUCAUCAAUCUUUAUCAUGUUCAGAUUCUGUUAUGAUUGAAGAAUCUGAAUCCUAAGCACUUCAGAAAUAGAUCCUUUUUGUUCCCAAUCACUACUUUUUUAUUUAUAUCUGCAGGAGCUAACUAAUCUGAC
rnacentral:lncRNA from 1 species